ACUCCAGAUUCUUCUCCAUCCACACUGUCUCCUUUCUCCAGGGAGCUCACAGGCUCUUCCAGGCCACCCAAAUGGUUCAGUCGCUGAAAAGCAUGGAAGGAAUUCAGGUGGAACCUGCAAGAAAGAGGACAAAAGGCAGAUCCUUGGAGUUCUCCGCACUCAGAACCUACAAGCUGCCCAGGGGUCUUCCAGACCAGCCCCAGUUGCUUCCAGCCUCCUUCCGCCAGCACAUCUCUGCAGCCUUGGGCCACCGAUCCUAAGCCAAAGCCUCCCCAACCUCUGGGCUCAGAAGCAGGUGUAAUCCCAACUCCAGCAGGGAAUUCCAGAGGUGAAGGUCACGGGAGCAUCUUUAAUCUUCGGUUCCCAGUAGAGAAGAUACCCAAAGAGCAGGGAGCAGGAGCCAGCUCCAGGCUAUACAUUUGUUUAUUCAUCAAUCAUUCAUUUAUGCAUUAAUCAUUCAUUCCCCCCACCCAUCAGUCAUUCAUCUGCUUAUUUAUUCAUUCAAUGUGUUUGUACCUUGUCCUUGCUUUGGUUACCGCAGAUGUUGGUCCUCUC
rnacentral:lncRNA from 10 species